rnacentral:rRNA from 1 species
UGGAGGAAUCUUUGGCACAAUGGGGGAAACCCUGAUGCAGCAACGCCGCGUGAAGGAAGACGGCCCUUGGGUUGUAAACUUCUGUUCUAAGGGAAGAUAGUGACGGUACCUUAGGAGCAAGUCCCGGCUAACUACGUGCCAGCAGCCGCGGUAAUACGUAGGGGGCGAGCGUUAUCCGGAAUUAUUGAGCGUAAAGAGUACGUAGGUGGUUUCCUAAGCAUGGGGUUUAAGGCAACGGCUUAACCAUUGUUCGCCCCAUGAACUGGGUUACUUGAGUGCUGGAGGGGAAAGCGGAAUUCCUAGUGUAGCGGUGAAAUGCGUAGAUAUUAGGAGGAACACCGGUGGCGAAGGCGGCUUUCUGGACAGUAACUGACACUGAGGUACGAAAGUGUGGGGAGCAAACAGGAUUAGAUACCCUGGUAGU